rnacentral:lncRNA from 1 species
CCGAUUCAAGCUGAAGAAUCUACCAAAUAUGCCGAAAAAUGUCACUUUUCAGAUGGUUUUUGUCAAAAAUGAAAGGGGCCGCGCCGAAUCCGUGUUCAUAAUCAACCUUUAUAUAUGUUAUGUAUUAACAUAAAAUACAACUUACAUUUUAAUUUUAAGGAUGAACACGGAUGCGGCCACUUUCGUUUUACACGAAAACCGUCUAAAAUUUAACAAAAAUGCUUGAAUUGUGAAGAUUUCAGUAAUUUAGCAUGACUUAAUGGUGCUAAUACCCGAUAUAUGUGCAUUGUAUUGUCAAAAACAGCCCAUAUUUAUGUAGCAG